rnacentral:lncRNA from 1 species
UUGUAUGUCUUGGGGUUGCUCUUCUUGAGGAGUAUCUUUGUGGUGUUCUCUCUAUUUCCUGAAUUUGAACAUUGGCCUGCCUUUCUAGGUUGGGGAAGUUCUCCUGGAUAAUAUCCUGAAGAGUGUUUUCUAACUUGGAUCCAUUCUUCCCGUCACUUUCAGGUACACCAGUCAAACAUAGAUUUGGUCUUUUUCCAUAGUCCCACAUUUCUUGGAGGCUUUGUUCAUUUCUUUUCACUCUUUUUUCUCUAAUCUUGUCUUCUCACUUUAUUUCAUUAAUUUGAUCUUCAAUCGCAGAUAUC